GCUGGGUGCGGUGGCGGGCACCUGUAAUCCCAGCUACUUGGGAGGCUGAGGAGGGAGAAUUGCUUGAACCUGGGAGGCAGAGGUUGCGGUGAGCCGAGAUCACAGCACUGCACUCCAGCCUGGGCAACAGAGCAAGACCCCUUCUCAA
rnacentral:SRP_RNA from 1 species